rnacentral:lncRNA from 10 species
UACCAUUCAGAUUUCCUCGUCUGUAAACAUUAAGUAUCUACAUUCACUAAAAGUAGUUCUGAAUGAAUGUUAUUUAAUGGUGCCAAUGAUGUUGGAGGAUACCUGUGCAUCUCAUGCUGUGGUUACAGCAUCAAUUGUGAUGAAUAUAGGAUACUGAGUCCCUCCUAGAAAUGACUUCAGGAACUUCACCCCCCAACUCCACAAUCUGGGAAUGGCAGACAGAUUCAGCACCAGGAGAACAUCACAUAAAGGACAAGUGUGUAUGUUUAAAAAUGGCAAGUUUCGGCCUGGCAUGGUGGCUCACGUCUAUAAUCCCAGCACUUUGGGAGGCUGAGUCUAAGUGUACAGUGCUUGUAAAGUCUGCAGUAGCAUACAGUAAUGUCCAAGGCUUUCACAUCCACUCACCACUCGCUCACUGACCCAGCCAGAGCAACUUCCAGUCCUGAAAGCUGCAUUCAUGUAUAGUUUGAGGGUAUCCAGCCUCAGAUUAUCUGAGGAUGUAGCUCAAGAUUUCCUAAUUUUGCAAACAGCAAGCUUCCCAGGAGAUUCUUAGAUUCCUGCUAACAAAAGGCGGAGACUCACUGGACAGUUACUGAAGAUAGACAGUAGGGGGCGGAAGGGCCCACGCUUCUUUGAUAUUGGUGGCUUUGGUUUUUCAGUGACGGGGGACACUUUGACUUCAGUUCCUUUUUACGACUUUUGGUAGUGAAGAGAUAAAGUUCAUUACAAAACAUGCCAGGCUUAAGCAAUUUUCCAAAGGGAUUAACGAAUUGCAGUGGCCGCAGGCUAUGUAAAAAUUUUUAAAAGGUGGUGUCUCUCAUAUUCUUCAGCAUAACUUGGGUCACAGAAACCCAGGCAUAAAAAUUCAUUGUGAACUCAUAUUCUACCAUGGCCUGACACUGACUCAAUCACCACAAUUGCAAUCAAAAGACGGCUUUAGUUGGAACCUGGAACGUGCUAAUCCUGUCAGGCAGCCUGUGAUUCUGGAAGUGAAGGAACAAAAAAAAAAAAAAAAAGGGAAAAUUUCACAUAAAAUUUCCAUAUGAGGAAGAAGAUGGAAACUUUUGUGUUGUGCGUUCAGUAAAACGGGCACUUUCUUAAGCAGGUGGCAAAGAAAGCCUGAGAAUCCGGCCUGACUUUUUCAUUUCAGAACCCUGCAUUUCCCACACAGAGGAGAUAGAGCACAGCCAUUGCAUGGUAGAUCCAGCUUGCUCUCACAGCCAUUGUGCAAAUAAACAUACAUGUGGCAAGGCAGUGCAGUUUUCAGUUGUUAAAAGUUCUGUCAUGC